CUGUCAUGAGCCUAGUUUUCUACUAAUCUGCUAUUGGAAUUCUCACUAACAACUAAUACAUUGACUGGGACAAAAAUAUCUGAGGCCAUGUCAUUGAUGUGCUGAUUUUUUCUAUAGGAAAUACUGGAUGCUGAGCUGUAAGAAACGGCCUAAUUGUGAAUGUGUCCUUAUAGUGCCCAGACCUUUACAAAGCUGAAGCUACUACUACAACUCAAGUCAUAACACUUCACAAAUGAAAGAUACUAUGAGAUCUGCCUUUGGAACGGAAAGCAGGAGAAAGAGUCUUUUCCUUUAAGGAGGCCGGAUGCUCAAGCUUGAUAUACAGACUCAAUAUGCAUAGGAGAGAAGAACAUUUUCAUCAAAAACGCACUGUGCAACGUAGCCCAUAAAGCAUCAAUAGCACAUUUACAACAUAGCUGAGAGUUUUAAAAAGCUGAGCUGAGUAUCUGGACACUGAUGCUUGGAGGAGAGUUGUGAAGGGGAGCACAGAUGUAAUAGUGAUCUCUCCCUUGCAUUAGACAGAAUUAGACCAGGCCUGCAGCCACAGCACCAUGUAGUAGAACUAGGAACUGGCGCUCUGGCUCUCUUUGUUCCAAGGGGUGAAAAUACAUGGGAAAGAGAAAACAUUUCAAAGAAUGAUUAUUGUAGAUGCUUGCAAAUUAUGUAUGGCCACAUUGAAUGGUCAGAAAGCUUGUUGUAUC